rnacentral:rRNA from 1 species
AACGAACGCUGGCGGCAUGCCUAACACAUGCAAGUCGAACGAGACCUUCGGGUCUAGUGGCGCACGGGUGCGUAACGCGUGGGAACCUGCCCUUAGGUUCGGAAUAACUCCCCGAAAGGGGUGCUAAUACCGGAUAAUGUCUUCGGACCAAAGAUUUAUCGCCUUUGGAUGGGCCCGCGUUGGAUUAGCUAGUUGGUAGGGUAAAAGCCUACCAAGGCGACGAUCCAUAGCGGUCUGAGAGGAUGAUCAGCCACACUGGGACUGAGACACGGCCCAGACUCCUACGGGAGGCAGCAGUGGGGAAUAUUGGACAAUGGGCGAAAGCCUGAUCCAGCAAUGCCGCGUGAGUGAUGAAGGCCUUAGGGUUGUAAAGCUCUUUUAACCGGGAUGUUAAUGACAGUACCGGGAGAAUAAGCUCCGGCUAACUCCGUG